CAGCUGCAGCCGCAGUUUCAGGAGGCUGCUGGUGGCUUUUCGAGCGGUUACGAAAUGGAUCGGCAGCGGGGUUCGAAUUCGUCGGGGCAGGGAGUGAUUGAGUUUGAGUAUUUGGAUGAUAACUUGUUGGAUGAGCUUCUGGGAUCUUAUUCCAAUGUUGGUUAUGAUGAGGGUUACUAUAGGCAGCAUAACUAGUUUGAUUAUGGUAAUGAUGAAAUGUGGAGGUUUUAGUUUCUUGGUGAAAUGGUUGGUUGAUUGGAUAAAAUGUUGAAAGUAAUAAUGCUUCAUUCAAGUUUCACCCAAUGUUUUGUUAAGGUUAUUAGUUUCUGAUUCGUCUUUGAUUUGUGAUCUGGUCUUUAGUUGCAAAUGUUAGGAUUGACAUUGCUUCAUUCUUCUCUAGUAUGGUUGAGAUUCGGAUUUUUCGAUAUAAGAAACAUGAU
rnacentral:lncRNA from 1 species